CUGAAGGUUUCUCCCAGUCUUGGUGAUUCUGGGAUUCUGUGACUGAUACAGCAGCUGCUGAAGUCUGCCUGGAGUAACCUGGUGACCUGAGCAGGAGAUGUUUGACCCAGUUUGGCUUUUUUCAAGCAGCACAGUCUGACACCUUCAAACAACCAAACACGGGAAGGGGCCGUUCCCAUCCCACGAGCCCCUUAAAUCUCCUCACCCCCAUCCUGUGCCGCUGCAAACCACAGGAUCCACAGGAACCCCUUAAGGAAAGCCAGUGUUUGGGGGGGUCCUGCCAGCACCCAGAUACUCCCAGGAGCUUCCCAGCUCCAGAGUUACCAGGAUCCCUCCAUCCCACCCCGGAACGGGCCAGAGGCCGCGGUUCCCCACACGCCUGAGCUGUGCCUGCCAUCUAUUGGUGUUACUUUGGAGUCCGGAUUCCCACUCUUGCUCCUCACACAACAGUUUUUCUAAGAAAUUCAAAGUUUUGCUCCCGGCGGCGGCCGACGCUCCCGGAACUCUGGAAACGGGAUUGCAGAGCUCGGGUUUUCCCAGGAAUCCUGGCUUAGGAGACCGAACAAAGCUGGUGGAACCAUGGCCAGGUGGUAUUUUCAUCCAUAAACUUCUGACCGGCACUGAAGAAGGAAAACAAUAAUUAUCUAAUAAAGAAUUUCAGCCCCAUUUCGGCUUGAAAAGCGA